rnacentral:rRNA from 1 species
GCAUAUCAAUAAGCGGAGGAAAAGAAACUAACAAGGAUUCCCCUAGUAACGGCGAGUGAAGAGGGAAGAGCCCAAGAUUGAAAGCUGGCGCCUUCGGCGUCCGCAUUGUAAUCUCAAGAAGCAUUUUCCGCUUCGGACCAAGCCUAAGUCCCUUGGAAAAGGGCAUCGUAGAGGGUGAGAAUCCCGUACAUGGCUUGGAGCGCCCGAGGCUUUGUGAUAUGCAUUCUAAGAGUCGAGUUGUUUGGGAAUGCAGCUCAAAAUGGGUGGUAAAUGCCAUCUAAGGCUAAAUAUUGGGGAGAGACCGAUAGCGAACAAGUACCGUGAGGGAAAGAUGAAAAGAACUUUGAAAAGAGAGUUAAACAGUACGUGAAAUUGCCAAAAGGGAAGGGUAGGAGGUCAGAGAUGCGGCAUGGGAUUCAGCCUUGCUUUUGCUUGGUGUUUUUCCCAUUUUGCAGGCCAACGUCGGUUUUGGGCACUGGAGAAUGGUGGGAGGAAUGUGGCACUCUUCGGGGUGUGUUAUAGCCUCCUACUGGAUACAGCGACCGGGACCGAGGAACGCAGCGUACUCGAAAGAGCGGGCCUUCGGGCACCUUA